rnacentral:rRNA from 1 species
AUUGAACGCUGGCGGCAGGCUUAACACAUGCAAGUCGAGCGGGGUGAUGGUGCUUGCACUAUCACUUAGCGGCGGACGGGUGAGUAAUGCUUAGGAAUCUGCCUAUUAGUGGGGGACAACAUCUCGAAAGGGAUGCUAAUACCGCAUACGUCCUACGGGAGAAAGCAGGGGAUCACUUGUGACCUUUCGCUAAUAGAUGAGCCUACGUCGGAUUAGCUAGUUGGUGGGGUACAGGCCUACCAAGGCGACGAUCUGUAGCGGGUCUGAGAGGAUGAUCCGCCACACUGGGACUGAGACACGGCCCAGACUCCUACGGGAGGCAGCAGUGGGGAAUAUUGGACAAUGGGGGGAACCCUGAUCCAGCCAUGCCGCGUGUGUGAAGAAGGCCUUAUGGUUGUAAAGCACUUUAAGCGAGGAGGAGGCUCUUUUGGUUAAUACCCAAGAUGAGUGGACGUUACUCGCAGAAUAAGCACCGGCUAACUACGUGCCAGCCGCCGCAGUAA